rnacentral:tmRNA from 1 species
GGGGUUGUACUGGUUUCGACGGGGAUCUCGAAAUUGAGGAAGCCAUCCGCGGGCCGGGACCGCGCAGCAAACCGGACAAUAAAUAUAAACGCAGACGAACAGUUAGCGUACGCAGCCUAAUGGCUGCUGUCGGCCUUAGGUAGCUCACUGCUUAAGUCACCGGCAUCAAAGAGGUGAGGCACUUCACACUCAAAGCUUUGAGAGUGCGGAAGAAUUUAUGAAGCUACUGAAGUCAGAAGCAUGUCGUUAGGCGUCUGAUGGAGGGAAUGUCAAAAUAGCGACUGUGAUGGGAGAUGCCGCAAUGGACAGGUUUUCGGACAGGGGUUCGAUUCCCCUCAGCUCCACUG